rnacentral:rRNA from 1 species
CUGCCCUACGGGACGCAGCAGUAGGGAAUCUUCCACAAUGGACGAAAGUCUGAUGGAGCAACGCCGCGUGAGUGAAGAAGGGUUUCGGCUCGUAAAGCUCUGUUGGUAGUGAAGAAAGAUAGAGGUAGUAACUGGCCUUUAUUUGACGGUAAUUACUUAGAAAGUCACGGCUAACUACGUGCCAGCAGGCGCGGUAAUACGUAGGUGGCAAGCGUUGUCCGGAUUUAUUGGGCGUAAAGCGAGUGCAGGCGGUUCCAUAAAGCUGAUGUGAAAACCUUCGGCUCAACCGGAGGAUU